rnacentral:rRNA from 1 species
UACGUAGGGACCAAGCGUUUGUUCGGAUUUACUGGGCGUAAAGGGCGCGUAGGCGGCGUGACAAGUCACUUGUGAAAUCUCUGGGCUUAACCCAGAACGGCCAAGUGAAACUGUUGUGCUAGAGUGCAGAAGGGGCAAUCGGAAAUUCUCGGUGGUAGCGGUGAAAUGCGUAGAUAUCGAGAGGAACACCAGAGGUGAAGACGGGGUUGCUGGGCUGACACUGACGGCUGAGGCGCGAAAGCCAGGGGAGCAAACGGGG